AUUGAACGCUGGCGGCAGGCCUAACACAUGCAAGUCGAGCGAGAGGCGGACGGGGGUGUAACUUAUGGGGACUGCCCGUUAGAGGGGGAUAAAUACUGUAAACGUUAGCUAAUACCCCGUACUAUCGGAUAACCCAUAUGGGAUUAGCUAGUAGGUUAGGUAAUGGCUCACCUAGGCGACGAUCCCUAGCUGGUCUGAGAGGAUGAUCAGCCAAACUGGGACUGAGACAGGGCCCAGACUCCUACGGAGGCAGCAGUGGGGAAGAUUGCACAGUGUACGAAAGCCUGAUGGAGCGAUGACGGGUGAGUGAAGAAGGCCUCAGGGUUUUAAAGCACGUGAAGUCGGGAGGCGGUGACCGCAGAAGUAGCCCCGGCUAACGCCGUGCCAGCAGCCGCGGUAAUUC
rnacentral:rRNA from 1 species